rnacentral:pre_miRNA from 1 species
ACACAACUCAGCUGGGGGUUUUGUUAAAACACAGAUUCUAAUUCAGUAGAUCUGGGGUUGGGCCUGAGAUUCUGCAUUUCUAACAAGCUCCCAGUUGUGUUCAUG